UAGGGAAUAUUAGAAAUGGGCGAAAGUCUGAUCUAGCAACACCGCGUGUGCGAAGAAGGCCUUUGGGUCGUAAAGCACUUUUUGGAAGGAAUAGGAAGGAAUGUACUUCCAGAAUAGUCUCGGCUAACUACGUGCCAGCAGCCGCGGUAACACGUAGGAGGCAAACGUUAUCCGGAUUUACUGGGCGUAAAGCGCGUGUAGGUGGUACUGUAAGUAGGGCGUGAAAGCUCCUGGCUCAACUGGGAGAGGCCGUUCUAAACUACAGAACUAGAGGAUGGUAGAGGGAGGUGGAAUUCCAGGUGUAGCGGUGGAAUGCGCAGAUAUCUGGAGGAACACCGGUGGCGAAGGCGGCCUCCUGGACCAUUCCUGACACUCAGACGCGAAAGCUAGGGUAGCAAACGG
rnacentral:rRNA from 1 species